UAAGACAUGUGGACAAUUGAGUUUUUAACGGGGGGAGCGUGUAUCAACCUCUUUGGUAGGCUACUACUUUAGUAGUUUUCUUUAACCCUUUAUGGCCUCAAGAAGCAUGUCAAGAAGAUCAUAAACAGCACUCACCCCAAGCACUUAUUCACCAAAGGCUUCAUCCCAUUAAGUGCCGUUACGACAUGCAUGUUUAAUGCUGGAAUUUGAACGAGUUGGGAUUUAAAAGUCGGAGCCGCCGGGGAACCAUUGACAUAUCGGGGAACCGAGGUGAUAAAAGGUGAAGGAAAGUGAAUGAAGGCGUCUGAAAGAACAGGGAGACGUACAGUACACUGAGGUGUGGAUCACUCGAGAAUUGGCUUUUGCUCCGCCAGAUCCACCUGCCUGGCUCAAUCCCCCAAAGCAGAGAGGUCUUGGCUGGAAUAUAUUGACGUCCUUACUUACAGCUGAGUUAUGCAAAAUGACAGAUGUCUAAUGAGUAAUCAGACCCACUUCAUCUUCUGGUUGACUCUCGGUGCUCCAACUACAGCUGCAUCUCUUGUGUUGAAAUAUCCUACUAUCAGCAAUCCUAUGCAGCAAUCAUAGCCUACACCAAGUGUGAUAACAAGUUACUAGCCGAGAAACUGCCGUUGAGCUUUUUUCUUCUUCAAUUUUGUCAUGACUAAAGCAUUUUUUACUGAAAAAAGGUGUUGACAGGCUGUCUUGCUAUACUGAGUGACUUGUCAGCUGACACUGAAUGCCACAUACUGUAUGUAAAGGAGUUUAUAUUUAUGCUAAGCCUCUGUUUUAGAUUUUGAAGUGAAAAUAUCACUACAAUCAUACUGUUAAGUGAUAUUACACAGCCACAAGAAGAAUAACACUGUUCCAACUGAAUCACGCCACACCGAUUUCCUGUACUUCUCACUAUUUGAGUGUACUUCGCACCUACAAAUCCCUCCAUGCCCUGGCCCCACAGUACCUCUCCGUCCUCCUCCCUGCACCUUUGGAGACAGAGCCUUUAGUGUUGCAGCCCCAUCCCUCUGAAAC